GACCGUGCAGGAAGACCAGAAGGAAAGUAAUCUGCCGCAUCCAGAAUGAACAGAACAAAACCCCCGCACUCCAGGAAGAAGUCAGGAGCCCAGUGGGGGCUGCAGGUCCAGCCCACAACAACCUAGACAUGUGGGGUGCUCCAUGGCUCACGCUUAUGUCCUGCAGGCUGAAGCCCGCGCCAGGGUCCGCAGUCUUUGUUCCGGACGCGGAACCAGUGCUUCAGCUGGUUACCGAGGCGUCCCCGAAGGGGAACGCGUGGACACGGUGAGAAUCUUCAGCACAGCAGAUCAUUUCGUCCUGGCAGCGACCAGCCCUGCCCGAGCGGCACCAGCAGCCUCCAUGUUAGAGGCAGUACCAUCAGACUUCCCCCCUACAGCAUCUCUCCUGCUUUUUUUUCCCUCACGGCUCUAAUCUCCUACUUUUGUUCAUCCUCCUUGUCACAGUGGGGCACCUGGCACUAUAGAGACUCAGAAAAUCCACAGAUGUGGGGGGUCCUGCCGCAUCCAGGCAGACAUGCCGGCAGUCAGAGAGGAAAGUCCUCUGAAGCCUCUAGAAGGAAUGGAACAGGACCCAGCACUGCAGGAAGAAGUGGGGCACCCAGUGGCGGAUGCAGGCCCCACACACCGCCGCGGUAAACGUAUAAGGCUUUCCCUGGCCCUUGCCUGUUUCCUAGAAGCUGAAGCCGCGCGGAGGCCCAGGUUCGCCCUUCCACACACAGAAUAAGCUGUUGGACUGGCUGCCUCACCUAGGACCCGAGUUGCGCCAGAGAGAAUCGCGGAUGCUGCUUUCCCGCGGGCUGCAGUGUCUGUCACUUUAGCGACCGCAAUAACACUUCUCCCACAGGGACUCCGCGGUGCCCAGCUCUCCAGCCUGGGGAUUCUCAUCACCCAGUGAUUCCAAAAGAAAUGAUCUACAAUGGCAUGACCAAGCGCCACAAACAAACAAACAUCUGAGGGAUGUCCAUUGAUCACUUUGAUUUUUCAAAGGUGACAAUUGUCCCUCCUUGAAAUCUUAAGAGAGCAUGAACAGGCUAUUCUAAUGGAUGUGCAAUUUACACUAAAACUGAUUGAAAGGUGAAAUCUGAUUCCAAGGUACUUUGUAUUCUCAAAUUGUGUCUGCUUCCCCUGACCCCCUCAAAAUGGGAGUGAUGACUACUUGUCUUCUUAGCACUGUGGGGACACAAAGCCUUGGAUGGAAGUCUGUCAAAAACAACAUUCCAUAAAAGGCCAUCACUUCCAAUUUUCAAGAAAGGUUGGAAACCAACCAUGAUGUAUGAAGCACUGUCGGCCAAAUUGAGCAAUUAGUAAUACAAAAAUGAAUGGUAUAAACUAUUCUACAUAUGUGUGGCCAUGAUGGCAAUUUACACAUCGAAAAAACAUGGCCAAAUUCAGGGAGAGGAAUCUGUAAACUCAUGGCUGUUGGGAAGCUUAAUGUCUGUGUACCGGAACCUAUCAAAGUUACUUCUCCAUGCCAGUCUGUCCAAACAAACCUUGAGUUGUUUAUUUCUAUGGAAUUCCUGUAGAAUCCUAAUGAGCAUGACGUUCUGGACCCACCUUCACAGCUCUGGUGCCAGUGGAUUUGCACUUGCUCGUGUUUCUCCCUAUUUUGUUAAGGGUGGAAAUAUUUAGUGACAUGGUGGGUUGGAAAGGUACUGAAAUAAUGGCUGGGGCCUCCUGGGUGGGUGAGUCAGGGCUCUGGCAGCCUAAGACUUUUUACAAUAAAUAAGUUAUAGGUAAAGUUAGAAAAAAUAAAAAGAAAAUGGAAA
rnacentral:lncRNA from 1 species